GGCAGAACGGGCGCUUCUGCCUGGAGGGUAACUGGACCCUUGGAGUUCGCCUCCGCCCCCCGACACGGGCUGAACAGGCUCCUCCACGUGGGCGGCACCGUACACAGUUGGCUAUAUCUCCUUCGGUGCUGAAGAGUGCAAACAUACAGCAUUAAAGUUGGAAGGGACUUUUGAAUUGAUGUGACCCAUGCUGAGGAAGAAUCCAUGGCAAAAGCAGAAUCGGAACUCUGACUUCCUAUCCUCCCAUUCCAGAAUUUUUUGCUGAGUGCCACCAGGCCUCACCAUAAGUGUGUUGGUGCUCAAUAAACACUUGAAGUUGCUGUACUCUCUCA